CCUAUAGGUUGGUAGCGAACGGGGGGGGCASGGUUGGGAACCCACAAGUAGUGGGGGAGGCAGGGUGAGGAUAAGCGAAUCCCAUACAGGAUCUCGGGGUGAACGGGGGGGGGCGACGGGGAUAGACGGUCUUGAUCGGCCGUUUUCUGAUACCCCCGCCGGUGGGGUUAGAGGCUACGAAGGCGACUAUCCGUGGCUGGUAUGAGAAGACAAUCUGCCAGGCUGGUCCUGAAACACGGCCCAGACUCCUACGGGAGGCAGCUAUGGGGAGUUUUGAAAGGGGGGCGAAACCCUGAUCCAGCAGCCUGACGUGUGAGAGGAAGGCCUUCGGGUUGUAAAGCACUUUUGUAAAGAAAGAAAUGGCCUGGGAAAAUACCGCGGGACGAUCACUGUACCGGAAGACUAAGCACCGGCUAACUACGUGCCAGCAGCAGCUGUAAUACGUCGGGUGAGUGCGUUAAUCGGAAUUACUGUGGCGUAAAUCUUGCGCAAGGCAGUUUUGUAAGACGGGCUUGUAAUCCCCAUGCUUAACUCGGCGAAUGGCGCUUGGUGACUGCCAAGGCUAGAGUAUGACACAUGGG
rnacentral:rRNA from 1 species